rnacentral:tRNA from 2 species
GGCCCUGUAGUUCAAUGGAUAGAACAGGUGUUUCCUAAAUACCAGAUCCAAGUUCGAUCCUUGGCGGGGCUA